GUUUGAGGGCUUCUUCCUUUACAUUUGCUUACAUUGCUAUAUCUGCUUAUUUAGAAACUUGUAACCUUUAAACUUUAUUUCUCUGAUAUUUGUUACUUGAUUCAAUCAGAGAAUUGAAUCAAGAUGUUAAGGUUUGUUAGUGAGCCCGCAAAACUAAUUAAGUUGUUUGUGAGCCCGGAAAAACAAAUGGAGUGGUUUUAGUCGGUGAGCUGGGAAAACCGACCAGGUUCGUUGUGAUCCUGUGAAAACAACAAGUUGGAUUAUGAGCUUGUAAAACAACCGGGCUGUAAUCUUAAGAUUAUAGUGAACUCUCAAGAAAAGCUUGGGAAGUGGACGUAGGAGCAAGGUUGGCUCCGAACCACUAUAAAAAUCUCGUAUUUGUGUUGUGGUUUGUCUUGCUUUACUUCUUUACUGCUUUCUUAUAGAUUACUUGAUAACAUUUGUUUAAAAUCAAGAAAGCCUUCAUAAUCCUCAAUAGAUAAAUUUAAAGAAUCUAAUUUUAAUUAGUACCCAAUUCAGCCCCCCCCUCUUGGGUUGUCUUCUAGGCAACAAAAAUAAAAUGCUCUGAUACAUUUACAAAUGUAAAAAGCUCUGAUACAUUUAUGAAGUAAAAAGCUCUGAUACACUUACAAAUCAAAAUGCUCUAAUACAUUUACAAAUUGAACAGCUAUGGUACAUUAAAAAAAAAUCUAAUCCUUUUAUAAGUUAAAAUGCUGUGAUACAUAAUCACCUUCAUAAUAAUAAUGCUCUGAAACCUUGUCCAAAUAGCUUAAGUCUCAUCAAUUACUUGCUUUAAUUACUGCACUGAUAGCAUUGCUAUCAAAUCUGAACCUUCUAUUUAAUUAUUCUCUUUAACUCUUAAUGCUUUAUUCAUGAAUUGAAAGUAGAAAGAUUUUUAACCCCUCACCCUUUUGUUGAUGACAAAAAGGAGGAGACGUAAAAGAAUUUCAGAAAAGUAAAAGAAUCUCAAAAAGUGCGAGAAGUAAAAGAAAGAAUUUCGGAGAAGUAAAAGAAUUUCAAAAGGAGAGAAGCAUAAUUUACUUAAUCAUAUUAGAAAGGAGGAGAUUUUCUCAUAUACAUAUAAAAGUUACAUAUUGAAAGUUUUAAGAUUCAAGAAUGCACAUGUUCUGAAUUUUCUGAAUAUCUUUUUGCUCUGAACCUUAUUACAAAAGUGCUCUGAAUAUUAUUGCAAAAUUCUUUUAAAUUCAAUAGUUUUGUCAUCAUAAAAAAAGAGAGAUUAUUAACCCUAAAGGAUGGAUUUUGAUGAUCACAAAAUCAAUUGACUAAUGUGUAUUCUAAUGAUGUUGGCUUAAGUGUGAAAGUUUAAAUUUCAAGAAGAAAAUAGCACUUAUAACCUUCAAAGAAUCAAGAAAAAUAAAAUCAAAGGUCUCUGAAAAUUUUGAGAAAAACUUAAUGAGCCGACCCUCAUAGUAACUGAGUCGACCCUUGUGUAAUUCAAGAGAAACAGAGAAGAAUCACCGCCUGAGACAGACUGAAUGAGUCGACCCAUGCAAAAAAUGAGUCGACCCCUGUGCAGUUCAAGAAAAACAGAGAAGAAUCACCGCUUGAGAUAGACUAGAAGAGUCGACCCAUGUGUUUAAUGAGCUGACGCACUAUCAACAUGGGUCGACCCUCGACAUUGAUGAGUCGACCCUUUGAGGCCAGCGCAGGAAUUUUCUAUAGAUUGAAGGAAAGAGCCGACCCUUGUACUUAGUGAGCCGUCCCCUUUAGUACAUGGGACGACCCCUGAAUUUGGAGAGUCGACCCCUGUUAUCUUGAUAGCUCCAACGGAUACUUUCAACAGGAUUUUUGCUGGGUGUCAACGGAUAGUUUUUUGGUCUAACGGCUAGUUGGUACUUCCUGGUCAGCAUGUAGCCCAUAAAUUAAAAGGAGCGCCAAAGAGACGAAGGAGAGGAACAAGUGAGAAAAUCCAAAUGCACAAAAUUCAUGCUUCCAAAGAUCAAAUCCUCACAAGAGAGCUUUCAAAGAGAAAAACCAUUCCGUGAGGAAAUCAGCUGGGAUAUUGAUAAGUGCUAAAAAUACAUAAAUUAACCCCUUUAUCAUAGCACUUAUCAUUAUUAUUAUGCACAUAUUUCACUAUAAAAAGAUAUAUUUCCCUUCAACGUUGCAUUCUAGUAAUUUAUCAAAAGUAAUUCAGGUUUGUUUGAUUUUGGGUCGAAUUCAAAGUAUGCAGGUCGGGUCGAACCCAUCAUUUAUCUGGCUCAUAACCAUGAAGACUGAUCAUGCUAGAGCACACGUGGCGGCCAUCCCGAGUGACACAUGCCUAUAUGCCAAAGUACAUGGGAUUUCAAAAGAAGGAUCAUGAACACUUGGAUGACGGGAUUACUUUGCAAACAAAUUAUCCAUCUAAUCCUUCCACGUAUCAGAGUUCCCUCAAGUUCCUUUCUCAGGCGGGAUAAGCCUUCCGAAACACCCAGAUUUCAUCCCGUUCGGAACGGAGUCCCACCGCCCAUGGAUAAAGCCCAGGCUUCCGCUCAUCUCACGUGUUUCCUCCGCGUGUCUUCCCUCCCGUCCGCGAUUCAAGGAUCAGCUCCCAGUUCCCCUGUUCCGAGUUCAUCUUUAUCUCACGGAUCAACCAUGAGCCAAAUCCAAACUCCCUUCAUCCAUGUGUUCCAGCCAUCCGUGAGAUUUGCCCCAAUGUCAAGAUCAGAUCUCUUCCCGGUUAUGAAUGAAUCCCAGCAUCCCAUCAACCUCCGAGAUCCUCUCACGUCUCCAUUUCAGCGUCAUCCUCUUCCCAUUCCGUGGAUCACGUCCCAGCCAUCUUCCGAACCAACCCAGUGUUCCGGAUUGAUCCUUAUCCAGCUUCCUCCCGCGAUACAUGCCAAGCAAACAAUCUUCUGAGCGCGUCCGCUUAUUCCGGCAUCUUCUCUCAACCGUGAACAUUAUCCCCUGCAUCCAAGGAUCAAGCCAAAUUCUCCAGCCGCCCCCUCAAGGAUCCAAAUCAAAGCCUUCCGGAUCCCCUGCAUCCCAGAACAGAGUCUAACCUCUCCAAAAAUCAAGCAUCUCAUGUUCAUCUUUCCAUCGGAUCUCCAUCCCGUUUGCAUGCCGUUCCUAGUUCCGCAUCCAAAGCUCCUUCCAAGUCAUCCCUUUCUUCCCCUGUUUCGAAACAGAGCCGCAUGAUCCAUGGGACGAACCCAAAUCCCAGCAUCUCCCCUGCUCAAAUGAUCCCAACCGAAUCCACACGUUCUUCCCCUCGCGCCUGUGUUCAUCUUCCACGCGUCCGGAUCAACUCCAUCCAGCAGCAUCGGGUUCCCCUGCUUCAAAACAAAAUCCCCUGCAUUCCCAAUCGAGUCCUCUCCGCGUACCCUCCGAGUAUAUCUCCUCUUCCGAAUCAAGCCAACUUCUUCCGGAUUCAUCCCAAACUCCUUCUGGAUUUUCUCAGCCGUCCCAGUUCCUUCCGCGUCUGGGUACUCCGCUCUCAUCCCCUGCAUCCACGUCAGCAGCCUCUACCCUUUCUCUCGUUCACGGAUUGAUUCCAACCAGCAGAAUCUCAGCAACGUAUCAACUUCCUGUGAUCAGCUCUCGCAUGAAUCCCGUGUUCUUAUCUCCCUUGCUUCGGAACAGCCACAUGAGGUAAAAACAGUGGGCUGGGGAGGCUAUAAAAGGAGGAGAUUUCUCCUCUUCGUGGCAAUCUUCUCUCAGGCGGAAUCCCAUAGAGUAAAAGGAGGGAGAAUACUUUGGGGUAUUUUGGGAAGAACUUCCCACAGAAAGAAAAAAAAAUGAAGUGCUAGAGAGGGGAGUUGCGACGGGAGAGGAAAGAGCCGAAGGAAGAAAGAAAAAAGUUCUAGUCGCGAUGGAAGCUCUUCGCGCUGCUGCUGUCGUCCACAACUAUAUGCAUGGCUGAUCUCCUCACUAGGGCUGGAUGAAGCUCUAACAGAGAAAUAAGGGUUUUUGUAUCUUUAAUUUCUGUUCUUGGAGUUGUAUGAAUCCUCUUACUUUUAAAUAAAUANNNNNNNNNNNNNNNNNNNNNNNNNNNNNNNNNNNNNNNNNNNNNNNNNNNNNNNNNNNNNNNNNNNNNNNNNNNNNNNNNNNNNNNNNNNNNNNNNNNNNNNNNNNNNNNNNNNNCCUACCUUAUUUUAGGGUUAAACAUUUUAUGCCUACUGAAGAUAGGGUUUUCCUAAAAAUUACUUCAGUGAAUUUUUAUUUGAAUACUUAUAGGGCUUGUAGCCAAUUUGCAUGAUAAUCCAAGACGAAUUAAAAUACAAAUAAUCCUUGUUACGAUGUUAGUGGUGAAUUCCUUGCCCUAGGCUCUCUCAACUGAUAUCAUUUUAAUUGCAUUUCUUUUAAAUUAUUUAGUUCAAUAGUCCUCACAAACUCUCUUUUUCAAAUAUUAUUUUUAAGAAAAUAAUUGAUACCCGUAAUCACUAUCCUACCAGAUACGUGCUAUUGCAUGGUCUUUAAAACUGACUAUCAAUUUUUGGCGCCGUUGCCGGGGAUUGCUAGCACGGUUGUUUUCUUUUUGUUUAUUUAUUUUUAUUUGUUUCUUUUUAGCGAUUGGAUACAUCUAUUUUCUUAUAUUUUUGAGAUGCACUAAUCAUCAUUUGUUUUGUUAGGAUUAUUGAAAAAAAAAAGAAGGAACGAAUUUUGGACGACUAGAGGACACGUAUGGAAAAGGUUUGAUCAAUUAACCUGCUGCAAUUUUUGCUUGGUAACCUCUAAACCUCUCCUGUCUUUAAAUCCUUGUUGUGAUUGUUUGAUUUAAUUUGAGUAAGGCGUGUAUGAUUGCUUGACACACCAUUUAAUUCAUCACGCACAUAGUAAGGGCAAUCACCCCAACAAGAUAAGAACUGGAUUUCAUCACCAGAUUCUUGCCCAAAUUAGGUGAAUCAAUUCUCACAUAGCUAUCACUUUAAUUAAAAUCAAUUAGACGUUGGCCCCUAGGGACAUUCGAGCUCAAUAGGACGAAGAUCACCGAAAGUUGCACCAAUUUCGCUCUAUGGCUCAGUUGAUGUCUAGGCAAGCUUUGUCCCUAUAAGGAAGACAGUUCAUCUGUUCGAGGCAAGUGGUUUUUAAGUGGGACCUUUGCAACGCAUUGUGACCCCCCCACUUACUUGGGAGCUUACCUAGUCAAGUCAGUUCAUUAGACCGGAUUGGAGGCUUAGGUGCCCUCUUCAAACCAGUUAGGAGCUGUCUAGUGAUUUUAGGGCAAACAUAAGGAUUUGAUGUAUUUUUUUAGUGCAUGCUUGACUGUACUUGACUGAUCAGAAGAGUAUUAGUGUAUGCUAGGGUGUCGUUCCAGAUCUCCUGAAUUAGUACCUUUUGACUCUGAAAUAGAGCGUUCUAUUAGGGCCCUUCGAGCCAAAAUCCGUACCUAUAGAACCAUAGGAUCUGCUCCACCUGUCGAGAUGGCUGAAGAACAACCCAAACUGUUAAAGGAGUACUUCACUCCUUCUAUUUACACCUCUUCAUCUUGUAUUCGACUACCUGAUACCACUUCUGCUGUACAAUUUGGAAUUAAGUCUAGUGUCAUCCAAAUGCUUCCCUCUUUUUAUGGACUCAACAAUGAAGACCCAUACAAACAUUUAGAUGAGUUCCUUGAGAUCUGCACUACUGUCAAAAUUCAGAACUUCACUGAUGAUGCUCUGAAACUUAGGUUGUUCCCUUUCUCUCUUAAGGAUAGAGCUAAGCAGUGGCUCCAUUCAUUAGAAGCCAAUUCCAUUCUUUCAUGGGCCCAAAUGCAACAUGAAUUUCUAAAGAAAUAUUUUUUCAUAGGAAGAACAAACCAAUUUAGGCGUGCUAUCACGAGCUUCUCCUAAUCUGACGGUGAAGAAUUUCAUGAAACUUGGAAAAAAUUUAGAGACUUACUCCGAAAAUGCCCGCAUCAUCAAAUACCCAAGUGGCAAUUAGUGCAAUGCUUUUAUGACGGGUUGUCUGAACGAAACCGUCAGAUGGUUGAUGCUUCUUGUUGGGAAACUUUCAUUCUUAAAAGUGAACAUGAGGCAUGGCAAUUGUUUGAAAAUCUCAAUGAAAAUUUCCUCCACCAUGCCUCCUCCGCUCGUCAAGCACCUCCGAGUUCCCAAAGAAAAGGGACCAUAUAUGAAGUUAGUUAGCCCAUAGGUCUAUCUGACAAAGUAGAUGCACUGUCUUGCAAAUUGGACCAACUAAUGUUUAGAGAACAGUUUCCGAACAUUCUAACACAGGUGUGUGCUCUCUGUUCUAGCCCGGCUCACCCUGUUUAUGAGUGCCCUUCGGCAGCUCAAUUCCCUGAAUUUGUGCAAGAACAAGUUAAUGCUGCCCAAACACAAUCCCGACUGGGUAAUGAUCCGUAUUCCACCACUUAUAACCCGAGAUGGCGCAACCAUCCAAACUUCUCUUGGAAGCAGCAGACUCCCAAUACCUCCCAACCGUAUUCCCAAAAUUUUCAACCGUUCCAGAAUGUUCAUUCAAACCGUCCUCCUACUCACUAUUCACAAUUUCAACAUGUCUCUCCUCCACCACCCCAAAGAGAUAUGGCUUUUGAGCAAAAAGUAUUGACUGCCCUUCAAGGACUAGAAGCCAAUACACAAUUGUUGCACUCCCAUACCCAGUCUAUUGCCAAAUUAGAAACCCAGCUAGGGCAGCUAGCUAGUCCACUAAAUAAGAGAGAGGAAGGCAAGCUUCCGAGCCAACCAGUGAGUAACCCAAGGGGGCAGUACAUCGCUCAAGAGACUCACCCGAAUGAUGUUCACCAUGAACAAGCCAAUGCCAUGACUACCUUAAGAAGCGGACGUGUAGUGGACAAUAAGGUUGGAGAAAAAGAACAUAAGGAAAAUGAAGACAAGAAUAGGACUGUGCCUAAAGAGAACCCAAACUCUUCUUUGUCACCAUCUAGUCCAGUAUCGACCACACCUGUUACACCAAAGGCCCUUUUCCCUGAAUGUCUGAAAGCACCUUCUCCCUUUGGCAUGAAAGGAACUUCGUUGGAAGAAAUAAUGGAGGUCUUCAAACAAGUCAAAAUCAACCUCCCUCUCCUUGAUGCCAUAAAACAAGUUCCAUCCUAUGCCAAAUUUCUCAAAUACCUUUGUCCCCAGAAACAAAAAUCUAGGACACAUGUGCCUAAAAAGGUCUUCCUAACUGAACAAGUAAGCUCCAUCCUCCAACACAAAACCCCUCUAAAGUUCAAGGAUCCUGGUGCGCCUAUCAUCUCUUGUGUGGUAGGAGACAAUUCGAUUGAUCGUGCACUAUUAGAUUUAGGGGCAAGUGUUAAUCUUCUGCCUUAUUCAGUCUAUGAGAAGUUCGGAUUAGGUGAAUUAAAGCCUACUUCGGUGUUUCUGCAAUUGGCUGAUCGAUCUGUUAAAAUACCACGAGGAACAAUUGAAGACGUCCUAGUCAAGGUAGACAAAUUUUAUUUCCCAGUGAUGAGAGCAUAAAAAUAAAAUUUUCAUAUUAUCUUAAUUAGUAUUAUAGCUAAUCUUUAUUAAUAAAAUUGAUUAAUUAAUGUUUUAUUUGUGUCUGAGUGCAAGUGAUUCAAGAGACCCAAUAACGCUGGGUUUGAGCCCAAUGCCUGGCAGUCUGAGCUCAACAAAUCCCUAGCGUCUCAUCUGAGCCUCAUGUCGCCCGUCAUCCGCAUGCAAUCCAUAUCACUGCAUCCAGCCGAGCAUGGCAUCUCACGACGUCCCCAAGCCGUGUCUCAUCCGCUCCCAACAGCUCCCAAACUGGCUCUUUCUUGCAUCCCGCCUCAGCAACUCCCCAACGAACAGAGCACGCGUGAGGAGCUUCCCAGCGUCUUCCAACCGUCCGUGACCUCCCAACACAUGCAAUCGGAUCAUCCAUUCCACCUCCUCUGUUUCGGAACAGAGCUUCCAACCGAGGAGUCUUCUCAACACCCCAAUGGCCAUCCACGUAUUCCAUGCAUCCGUUCGGUUCGUCCCAGCAGCCGAACAGCUCCCAAACCGUCCGCGUUCAAGCCAUCAACCCAAGUCGCCUCCGUGU
rnacentral:lncRNA from 1 species